rnacentral:lncRNA from 1 species
AGAAAGCAAGAGAAUGUGUGAGGGAGGGAGAGAGAGUGAACUGAGAGAGAGUGAGAGGGAGAGAGGGACUAAUAAGCCCUCUAUUGUAACAAUAUCCAUCCAAGCCCCUCCACUUUUCACUCUGUGCGAAGCCCUCCCUGGGCGUUCUGCGCGCGGAGGGACCGGUCUCCCCGACUUGGGACCGGUCCCCGAGAGCUUCAGCUCGGGUCACGC